UACAGAGGGGGCAAGCGUUAUUCGGAAUUAUUGGGCGUAAAGGGCGCGUAGGCGGCUUGGCAAGUGGAUGGUGAAAUCCCUCGGCUUAACCGAGGAACUGCCGUCCAAACUGCUUUGCUUGAGACCGGGAGAGGUGAGUGGAAUUCCCAGUGUAGCGGUGAAAUGCGUAGAUAUCAGGAAGAACACCAAUGGCGAAAGCGGCUCUCUGGGACGGUACUGACGCUGAGACGCGAAAGCGUGGGGAGCAAACAGG
rnacentral:rRNA from 1 species